CGUGGCAAAAAUUUUGCUGACCCGACCAUUAAAAAGUAAAAUAUUUGAUUACCCAACCUCAAAUAUCAAUUAAAAAAGAAAUACCCACCCCUGGUCAAAAACAUUACAAAAAGAUACCAUUCAGUUGUCACACAAUUAAGUCCCUUACCACUUCUGUGACAUGAGUUUGAUAACGGAUUGUGAAAUUUUCUGCAGUAUAAAGUUUCACGUUGUCUGCACAUGUACUUUCUUUGGAGACACCAUUUGUCUCCCAACAAAUCGGAAAAUGAUCAAGAUAGUGACUCUGAUUGAUUCACAUAUUGUAUUGACAUAUGACUGUUGACAUUGCUUUUUAGUCUCCAAUAUUUCAGUGAGUUAUGCUUUGGAAAUGACAAUAAAUUUUUAUUACCCAACCCUUGAG